rnacentral:lncRNA from 1 species
UAAAUUAAUUUUUUUAAUACUUCUCAAUACUCAAAAUAGGUACCUAGUCAAUUCAGCAAGAAAAAAAGAACAUUUAAGAAUUUCCUUUCAAAUAAUGUAAAAUAGAAGUUAUUAAAUGUUGGUGGCUUAUCAUGCAAUGCAUUUGAGAAGGGCAUGCUUUCAAAGUUAAGACUGCUUUCCUGAUUCCUACAGCAAAAA